GAUGAAGAACGCAGUGAAAUGUGAUAAGUAAUGUGAAUUGCAGAAUUCAGUGAAUCAUCGAAUCUUUGAACGCACAUUGCGCCCCUUGGUAUCCCGAGGGGCAUGCCUGUUCGAGCGUCAUUUCACCACUCAAGCCUGGCUUGGUGUUGGGCGACGUCCCCUUUGGGGACGCGCCUCGAAACGCUCGGCGGCGUGGCACCGGCUUUAAGCGUAGCAGAAUCUUUCGCUUUGGAAGUCGGGGCCCCGUCUGCCGGAAGACCUACUCGCAAGGUUGACCUCGGAUCAGGCAGGGAUACCCGCUGAACUUAAGCAUAUCAAUAAGCGGAGGA
rnacentral:misc_RNA from 1 species